UUUUCGGUCAACGCUCAUUUUGAACUAAACAAGCAUAACGCCGUUCUCGAUUUCCAAGCGGAAAGCCAAGAGGCGGUGGCGUUGCUCGGCAUCUUCACGCGCAGAACAUCGGACAAGGUCUCCAUCGUCAUCGGCCAUCACUGGCUAUAUCAGUUUUCGUUGUCUCUGGAUCGACCGGAUCGCGGACUUUUUUUCGAUCUCGACGGAUGCCGCGGCCGAGCAAAGAACCGUGCAAGAAGGAGGCAUGCGACAUCCAGUCCUGCCUCACCAAAAAUAACUUCAUCCCCCAAAGGUGCCUCAAAGUCAUUGAAUUGUUGCAGACAUGCUGUGAAAAGUGCAACUAUAACUCUACGCAUUGUGCUUCUCUGUCAGGGCUUCUUAAAACAAAUUCAAAGUGAUGCUAUGAGAGCAUCUGCAAGUAGAGAUUUCUCAUAUCUCCACAAUAAUUUUCCAUGCAAGGACCGACUGAGGGUGCAAAAUGUUGCAGUGGUCGAUGGCGGCAACCCUAAAGUUCGUGGCAGUUUUGAGUCAAUGACCUAGACUACUGACUCAACUACAGGACACAAACUUUUUACAUGGCACAACAUUAAUUUCUGCAUAUUAGGGAGCAAUCAUAAUGUCCUCUAGAAACUUUUAUGUUUUCUUGUUUCACUUCUCUUGUAUUUUCCAUAUUGGUUUCAUCACAUUUGAAAGAUUAGUCAACAUCACAGGGUCUCUUCUUGAAAUUCAUUACUGAUAUAUACAUGAUUACUUUGAGAUGUAAGUAUAUUUGUACACCCUUUUAUCACAGAUAUAUGUCGAUUAGUAAUCUUCAGGUCCCAUACCAUGAAGAAUGGCUAAAUGAGAUAAUGGCUGUUCAUG